rnacentral:lncRNA from 1 species
AAUGGAAUGGAAUGAAAAUUAAUAAGGGCCAAACGGGAGCUUAUUUUGUCAGUUUAAGUGAAGAGAAACUAAAAUAGAACAAUUGUCAUGUUAAUAGUUAUUACAGCUAUGCACAAUUGUAUUUAGCUUUUAAUGCCAUAUUUAUAUGACAAAUUAAUGCUAGAGAUAAGUGUUGUAUUAAACCCAUGUUUGUCAUCCUUAAACAAAUUAAAUUGUUUGUUACAGUAACAUUCUUCACCACACAUUCACAUUAAAAUAUUUUAUACACAAACCAGUAAAGUUUCUUUAAAUUUUAAUCAUACAUUCUUCAAAAAAUAGUAUUCAAAGCUUUAUAAUUUAUUUCAUAAUAGGAGACAAAUAGGCUCUAAAAGAUGGACCAGGCAGUUUCCAACUUUAACUACUAAAACAAUAUUCACUACUACUCUUACAAAUAAACUGAUGAAGUGCAGAGAAAUGUUAGGUACGAUUCAACAAGUUGCAAAAUGUUUUUUUAAACGUUAUGCAAACUGAUUAACAUCAAAACGUAGAAAUGAAAAUAAUUUUUUUGACAAGGAAUAUGCGUAUCUACUAAAGUUAAGUGAAUGGAAGAAACUCGUAUUAGAUGAUUAACAGAUAUUUGGUUUGAUAAUAUGCACUAAAAGGAGUCCCUAAUAACAUCAUUUGAGUAAAAAGCACUAUAAGCAAGAUAGGCAUAUUUGGUUGUCACAAAAACAAUCAGAAACACUAAAUGCACCCAUUUCAAAAAAGAUAUAUUAUAAAACAACACAUGUUUAGCUACAGCUGAAUGCAGAAUACAGACACAGAAAUUUUAGUUUGCCGUGCAUUACCAUAGCUGAUUUUGUAGGAUCUCCAUUGGAAAAUGUUGGUACUGGAAUGCCUAUGUUACUCAAACUUGUUCUUCUCUACACUAG